UAAAAAUAGCGUUUGAUUAUUAAGAGAACAUGUUACGAACUUGCUACUACAUAGAGCUUAUACAUAAUCCUGGCAACUUAUAGAAAAAAAAUCAACAUAGCGACAGAGAGUAUUAUAUAGUCACAUAGCGACAAAGAGUAUUAUAUAGUCACAUAGCGAAGCUUAUAAACUGAGAGUAGCUAAACCAGUUUAAGAUCAUGACCGAGGCCAAGACUAAUGUAACAUGGUAACUUUAGUACCUAU
rnacentral:lncRNA from 1 species